rnacentral:rRNA from 1 species
GAUGAACGCUGGCGGCGUGCCUAAUACAUGCAAGUCGAGCGAACAGAUAAGGAGCUUGCUCCUUUGACGUUAGCGGCGGACGGGUGAGUAACACGUGGGUAACCUAUCUAUAAGACUGGAAUAACUCCGGGAAACCGGGGCUAAUGCCGGAUAACAUGUUGAACCGCAUGGUUCUACAGUGAAAGGCGGCUUUGCUGUCACUUAUAGAUGGACCCGCGCCGUAUUAGCUAGUUGGUGAGGUGACGGCUCACCAAGGCAACGAUACGUAGCCGACCUGAGAGGGUGAUCGGCCACACUGGAACUGAGACACGGUCCAGACUCCUACGGGAGGCAGCAGUAGGGAAUCUUCCGCAAUGGGCGAAAGCCUGACGGAGCAACGCCGCGUGAGUGAUGAAGGUCUUCGGAUCGUAAAACUCUGUUAUUAGGGAAGAACAAAUGCGUAAGUAACUGUGCGCGUCUUGACGGUACCUAAUCAGAAAGCCACGGCUAACUACGUG